GCCGAUUGUGGUGGCGCGUGCCUGUAGUCCCAGCUACUCGGGAGGCUAAGGUGGGAGGAGUGCUUGAACCCAGGAGUUCUGGACUGUAGUGUGCUAUGCCGAUCGGGUGUCCGCACUAAGUUCAGCAGCAAUUUGGUGGCCUCCCGGGAGUGAGGGACCACCAGGUUGCCUAAGGAGGGGUUAACCAGCCCAGGUUGGAAACGGAGCUGGUCAAAACUCCUGUGCUGAUCAGUAGUGGGAUCAUGCCUGUGAAUAGCCACUGCACUCCAGCCGGGGCAACACAGCAGACCUUGUCUCUC
ensembl:misc_RNA Metazoa_SRP Metazoan signal recognition particle RNA